GCUAGAAGCCAUACAAAAACACUCCUGGUAUCUUGGUGGUCGUAACGAGCCGUGCCCGGAGCAGCCACCUCCCAGGCGUGUGUGUGUGAAGAGGAUCGUGUCGCUGACCGAGCUGGACCCCGAUGUGCUGGACAGCAUGCACUCGCUGGGCUGCUUCAGAGACCGGGGGAAACUGACCCAGGACCUGCAGUGUGAGGAAGACAACCAGGAGAAGAUGAUCUACUA